UAUAUUUUUUAUUUAUUUUAAUUUUUUUUUAUUUUUUUUAUUUAGUAAAUUUAAAAAUUUUUAUUUAAUUUUGUUUUAAUAAUAAUUUAUUAUAAUUUAUUAUUAUUAGUUUAGUACCUUUUGUAUCAGGGUUGAUUUAUUAAUAGAAAUAUAUUUUAUAUCCCGAAGUUAAAUGAUUUAUUUUAAUAUUAUUAUGAUUGUAACAUAAAUCUUGUUAAUAUUAAUUUUGUAAUUAUAAGUUAUGCGUUUUUAUUUUUAUCUGGUUUUCUUAGAUUAAAUUUAAUUUUUAAUUAUUUUAGAAUUUAAUUUUUUUUUCUUGUUAAUUAUAUUUUAUGAGGGAUAAUCUUUAUAUUUUUAUACAAUUAUUUAGUAAUUAUUUAAUAUAUCUUUUAAAUUUUGAAUUUAGUUUUUAAUAAAUUAUUUUAUUUUUAUAUUAUUUUGUUUAAUUUAUUUUUUUAUAAGUUAUUUUUUAUUUAUUUUUAUUGUAUUAUUAAUAAUGAUUAAAUUAGUAUAAUUUUUUAUAUAUUAAAGUUUAAUUUGACAGAUUUUAUUUUCAACUGUUUAUCAAAAACAUUUCCUUUAGUUCUAAUUUGAAGGUAAGUUCUGCUCCAUGAUUGGGUAUUAAAUAGCUGCAGUAUUUUAACUGUACAAAGGUAGCAUAAUAAUUAGUUUUUUAAUUGAGGGCUGGUAUGAAUGGAUUCAUGAGAAAUAUAUUUUAAUUUUAUUUAUAAUUUUAAUUUAAUUUUUAAGUAAAAAAGCUUAAUUUUAAAUUUGGGACGAAAAGACCCUAUAGAACUUAAUUUUUUUAGAAUUUUUUAUUUUAUUGUAUUAAUUUUUUUUAUUAAGUAUUUUAAUUGGGGUGAUUAAUAAAUUUAAACUUUAUUUAUAAAUUUCUUUAUUUAAGAUUUAAUUUUGAUUCAUUUAUUUUGGUUCAAGGUAAAGUUACCUUAGGGAUAACAGCGUUAUUUAAAUGGCGAGUUCUAAUUUAUAUUUAAGUUUGCGACCUCGAUGUUGAAUUAAAAUUUAAAUAAGGGGCAAUAUCUUUAUUUUUUAAGUCUGUUCGACUUUUAAAUUUUUACAUGAUUUGAGUUCAAACCGGUGUGAGCCAGGUUGGUUUCUAUCUUAAUUUAAUUUAAUUAUUUUAGUACGAAAGGACCAUUUAGUUUAUUUGAUUUUAAUUUAAAUUCGUAUAAUAUCUAUAA
rnacentral:rRNA from 1 species